UCGAGCGAACAGACGAGGAGCUUGCUCCUCUGACGUUAGCGGCGGACGGGUGAGUAACACGUGGAUAACCUACCUAUAAGACUGGGAUAACUUCGGGAAACCGGAGCUAAUACCGGAUAACAUGUUGAACCGCAUGGUUCAACAGUGAAAGACGGUCUUGCUGUCACUUAUAGAUGGAUCCGCGCCGCAUUAGCUAGUUGGUAAGGUAACGGCUUACCAAGGCAACGAUGCGUAGCCGACCUGAGAGGGUGAUCGGCCACACUGGAACUGAGACACGGUCCAGACUCCUACGGGAGGCAGCAGUAGGGAAUCUUCCGCAAUGGGCGAAAGCCUGACGGAGCAACGCCGCGUGAGUGAAGAAGGUCUUCGGAUCGUAAAACUCUGUUAUUAGGGAAGAACAAAUGUGUAAGUAACUAUGCACGUCUUGACGGUACCUAAUCAGAAAGCCACGGCUAACUACGUGCCAGCAGCCGCGGUAAUACGUAGGUGGCAAGCGUUAUCCGGAAUUAUUGGGCGUAAAGCGCGCGUAGGCGGUUUUUUAAGUCUGAUGUGAAAGCCCACGGCUCAACCGUGGAGGGUCAUUGGAAACUGGAAAACUUGAGUGCAGAAGAGGAAAGUGGAAUUCCAUGUGUAGCGGUGAAAUGCGCAGAGAUAUGGAGGAACACCAGUGGCGAAGGCGACUUUCUGGUCUGUAACUGACGCUGAUGUGCGAAAGCGUGGGGAUCAAACAGGAUUAGAUACCCUGGUAGUCCACGCCGUAAACGAUGAGUGCUAAGUGUUAGGGGGUUUCCGCCCCUUAGUGCUGCAGCUAACGCAUUAAGCACUCCGCCUGGGGAGUACGACCGCAAGGUUGAAACUCAAAGGAAUUGACGGGGACCCGCACAAGCGGUGGAGCAUGUGGUUUAAUUUCGAAGCAACGCGAAGAACCCUUACCAAAUCUUGACAUCCUCUGACCCCCUCUAGAAGAUAGAGUUUUCCCCUUUCGGGGGACAGAGUGACAGGUGGGCAUGAUUGUCGUCAGCUCGUGUCGUGAGAUGUUGGCUAGUUCCCGCACGAGC
rnacentral:rRNA from 1 species